UCUGCUUUGACCAGGUUGGGUGG
rnacentral:miRNA from 1 species